rnacentral:rRNA from 1 species
UACGUAGGCAGCGAGCGUUGUUCGGAGUUACUGGGCGUAAAGGGUGUGUAGGCGGUUGUUUAAGUUUGGUGUGAAAUCCCUCGGCUCAACCGGGGAACUGCGUCCGAUACUGGUGGGCUCGAAUCCGGGAGAGGGAUGUGGAAUUCCAGGUGUAGCGGUGAAAUGCGUAGAUAUCUGGAGGAACACCGGUGGCGAAGGCGGCAUCCUGGACCGGUAUUGACGCUGAUGCGCGAAAGCCAGGGGAGCAAACGGG